UUUUGAGAUAAAUUCGUGUUGUCAACAGAUAGCUCCUUUGCAAGCUAAUAUAUCAACAGAAUAAAGGUUAAUAAAACAUGAUAAUGUAAACAAAG